rnacentral:rRNA from 1 species
CAGGUACAGAAAUUUUUAGAUCUCAUUAAAAACUUACGUUAACUUCUUAUUAUUAAGUAUAUGAAGUAUUCGGGGAAUCGUGAAGAUUUUACUAGGUGAGAAAUUAAUCUAGGAAUGGUAAUGAUGAAUGUUGAAUAAUCAGACAUAGAAUGAAAAGGUUGUAUGUCAAAAGGGAAACAGCCCACAACAAGUGUUAUAAUAAGGUUCCAAAAUUAUUAUUAAGUGAAAUCAAGGAAGUCUUUUGAUUUUAAUUCGAUCAGGAAAUAGGCUUAGAAGCAGCCAUUUUUUUGAAGACCUCGUAACAGAGCACUGGUUAACAAUGUAAAAAGGCAUUGAAAAUUUAACGGAUCUAAAAUAAUAUACCGAAACCUUGUCUAUAGUUAUAAAUAUUUAUAUUGUAUAACUAUAGGGUAGCGGAACGUAGGGGAUAUAAAAGAAUUUGUUCUUUUUAAGAAAAAAUAAUAUAACUCUAGUGAUAAUGCUAACAUGAGUAACGAUAAAGGCCAAUCUAUAGGUUGACCUCGCCUUAAGCUUAUGGUAUAGAUAAAAGUAACGGCCUCUAAGUUUUAUUAACCUAAAGGACUAAACGAUGAGAAAACCUUGUUUAUAAAGUAAUAACCUUUAAAUUUUUAAACAUUCUGGGCUCGCACGCCCUCACUCUCUUUAGGAGUGAGUGAUCGCGCCCCAAUAUCUGAUGUAAAUAAUAAGUGAUGAAGAGUUCAGGAAAAACGAUAAACACUUAACCGUACCUAAAUACCAGCUCAGGUAAGCAAGAGAGAAUACG